rnacentral:rRNA from 1 species
UAGGGAAUUUUCCACAAUGGGCGAAAGCCUGAUGGAGCAACACCGCGUGCAGGAUGAAGGCCUUCGGGUCGUAAACUGCUUUUAUUUGUGACGAUUAUGACGGUAACAGAUGAAUAAGGAUCGGCUAACUCCGUGCCAGCAGCCGCGGUCAUACGGGGGAUCCAAGCGUUAUCCGGAAUUACUGGGCGUAAAGAGUUGCGUAGGUGGCAUAGUAAGCAGAAUGUGAAAUCAUCCCGCUCAACGGGAUACACAUGUUCUGAACUGCUAAGCUAGAGGACGAGAGAGGUCGCUGGAAUUUCUAGUGUAGGGGUAAAAUCCGUUGAUAUUAGAAGGAACACCAAUGGCGUAGGCAGGCGACUGGCUCGUUUCUGACACUCAGGCACGAAAGCGUGGGGAGCAAACAGG